ensembl:snRNA U6 U6 spliceosomal RNA
GUGCUUGCUUCGGCAGCACAUAUGCUAAAAUUGGAACAAUAUAGAGAAGAUAGCAGGCCCCUGCGCAAGGAUGACAUGCAAAUUCAUGAAGCAUUCCAUAUUUUU